GACGAACGCUGGCGGCGUGCUUAACACAUGCAAGUCGAACGGAAAGGCCCUGCUUUUGUUGGGUGCUCGAGUGGCGAACGGGUGAGUAACACGUGAGUAACCUGCCCUUGACUUUGGGAUAACUUCAGGAAACUGGGGCUAAUACCGGAUAGGAGCUCCUGCUGCAUGGUGGGGGUUGGAAAGUUUCGGCGGUUGGGGCUGGACUCGCGGCUUAUCAGCUUGUUGGUGGGGUAGUGGCUUACCAAGGGUUUGACGGGUAGCCGGCCUGAGAGGGUGACCGGCCACAUUGGGACUGAGAUACGGCCCAGAAUGCUACGGGAGGCAGCAGGGGGGAAUAUUGCACAAUGGGCGGAAGCCUGAGGCAGCAACGCCGCGUGCGGGAUGACGGCCUUCGGGUUGUAAACCGCUGUCGCCGGUGACGAAGCGUGAGUGACGGUAAUGGGUAAAGAAGCACCGGCUAACUACGUG
rnacentral:rRNA from 1 species